GACACACUUCCUUAGAUCCAUUCCUGGGGCAAAACAAUGACAUUCUUCUGCAUUGUUUACAGGCUUGCCCUGUAACACUGCUUAAGUGUGUUGGCAGUUGCCCAACAGCGCUAAGCUGCAGAUUGGGAAUGCUUGAGUCAUGAGUGUGUGAGAUCAAUAUACCUCUCUGUGGUGCAUCUUUGCCUUCUGAUUGUCAGCCUAGAUGCCAUAGUGCAGCUAGUCUUUGAUCCUUAUGUCAGUUGGAUAGCAUUGCAAGGGACAAU